rnacentral:tmRNA from 1 species
GGGGCCGAUUGGCAUCGACCGGACAGGGAAGGCUUGUCGCUGCGUGUCGUGGAGCAUGCGGUCCACGCAAAAAGCAUGCACAACCUUAACUGGCAACAACCAGUACGCUCUCGCGGCGUAAUACACGUCCGCGCGAUCCGCACCUGACGCCCGAUGGGGCUGCGGAUCGUCAAUCAUCGGGCUGGCUCCAAAGGGCUGGCAUGCCCUGGAGGAGCGAGACCGCAGUAUGCCAAGGGGCUGGGUAACGCCGCCGUCGGCGGUCC